GUCCUCGUGGAGUAGUGCAGCUCACUCCCACCUGCUAAUGGAGGCCAGAAUAGCUGGAUUUCAGGGAUAGGAGGUGGUUCGAAUCCGCCCGAGGACA